rnacentral:miRNA from 1 species
CAAUGGUGUGAGCUGGGAUGG